UACGUGCAUGAAGAUAGUGACUCAAAGA
rnacentral:piRNA from 1 species